rnacentral:rRNA from 1 species
GACGAACGCUGGCGGCGUGCUUAACACAUGCAAGUCGAACGGAAAGGCCCUGCUUUUGUGGGGUGCUCGAGUGGCGAACGGGUGAGUAACACGUGAGUAACCUGCCCUUGACUUUGGGAUAACUUCAGGAAACUGGGGCUCAUACCGGCUAGGAGCUACUGCUGCAUGGUGGGGGUUGGUAAGUUUCGGCGGUUGGGGAUGGACUCGCGGCUUAUCAGCUUGUUGGUGGGGUAGUGGCUUACCAAGGCUUUGACGGGUAGCCGGCCUGCGAGGGUCACCGGCCACAUUGGGACGGAGAUACGGCCCAGACUCCUACGGGAGGCAGCGGUGGGGAAGAUUGCACAAUGGGCGGAAGCCUGAUGCAGCAACGCCGCGUGCGGGAAGACGGCCUUCGGGUUGGAAACCGCUUUCGCCUGUGACGAAGCGUGAGUGACGGUAAUGGGUAAAGAAGCACCGGCUAACUACGUG